CCUACGGGGUGCUGCAGUGGGGAAUAUUGGACAAUGGGCGAAAGCCUGAUCCAGCCAUGCCGCGUGUGUGAAGAAGGCCUUCGGGUUGUAAAGCACUUUCAGUGGGGAAGAAAGCCUUGGGGCUAAUACCCUCGAGGAAGGACAUCACCCACAGAAGAGGCACCGGCUAACUCCGUGCCAGCAGCCGCGGUAAUACGGAGGGUGCGAGCGUUAAUCGGAAUUACUGGGCGUAAAGCGCGCGUAGGCGGUCUGAUAAGCCGGUUGUGAAAGCCCCGGGCUCAACCUGGGAACGGCAUCCGGAACUGUCAGGCUAGAGUGCAGGAGAGGAAGGUAGAAUUCCCGGUGUAGCGGUGAAAUGCGUAGAGAUCGGGAGGAAUACCAGUGGCGAAGGCGGCCUUCUGGACUGACACUGACGCUGAGGUGCGAAAGCGUGGGUAGCAAACAGGAUUAGAUACCCUGGUAGUC
rnacentral:rRNA from 1 species